UACGAAGGGAGCUAGCGUUGUUCGGAAUCACUGGGCGUAAAGCGCACGUAGGCGGAUGUGUCAGUCAGGGGUGAAAUCCCGGGGCUCAACCUCGGAACUGCCUUUGAUACAGCACGUCUUGAGUCCGAUAGAGGUGGGUGGAAUUCCUAGUGUAGAGGUGAAAUUCGUAGAUAUUAGGAAGAACACCGGUGGCGAAGGCGGCGCUCUGGACCGAGACUGACGCUGAGGCGCGAAAGCGUGGGGAGCAAACAGG
rnacentral:rRNA from 1 species